GAGAAGAACGCAGCGAAAUGCGAUAAGUAGUGUGAAUUGCAGAAUUCAGUGAAUCAUCGAAUCUUUGAACGCACAUUGCGCCCCUUGGUAUUCCAUGGGGCAUGCCUGUUCGAGCGUCAUUUGUACCUUCAAGCUCUGCUUGGUGUUGGGUGUUUGUCUCGCCUCUGCGUGUAGACUCGCCUCAAAACAAUUGGCAGCCGGCGUAUUGAUUUCGGAGCGCAGUACAUCUCGCGCUUUGCACUCAUAACGACGACGUCCAAAAGUACAUUUUUACACUCUUGACCUCGGAUCAGGUAGGGAUACCCGCUGAACUUAAGCAUAUCAAUAAGCGGAGGA
rnacentral:misc_RNA from 1 species